AGGUACUUUCUGUGACACGUUUUCAUGGUGUGGGAAUAAGACUUGGUGGUCUAAUACAGCUAAUAUGAAGGUUAGCACCACAGCUUGUCUGUAAGGAUUGAGGCUGGGAAGGGCCAUUGGAGCUAAAUUUUAUGGUAACUUUAACUGUGGCUGCAGCAUAAAAUGAUUAUGUGAUAUAACUAUAAACAGUAAAGAAUGUAAUUCAGACAAUUUUUGUGUAUGUUUGAGAAAAUGUAUUUUUUUACAAAAAAAAAAAAACAAAAAAAAUGUAAAGAUUAUCCAUUUUUAACAAGAUUGGAAGUUGUAGGUUAACUUGUAUUUGAAAUUUCAAAAUUUCUCUUUCUUUUUUUUAUUAAAACCUAUGGCUAUAUUCUGGUACAUCUCAACUCAUGUCCAUUAUUGCCUUGACACUUUUUUUGUCAUGCUUAUGUAUACUGAACUGGAUUUUGAUAUGUUGUUUCAUAGUUCAGAUCUUAUUCAUUAUUUUUUUUCCCUGUGACUCGAUUUCAUUUGUACUGACCAAUUUUACAAUUUUACUUGUAAAACUACUUAAGAUAUCUUAAUAAUGAUCUUUGUCUAGUCAAAACGCUUCCAGUUGGUUUAGAAUGGAGAAUCUAAAAAAAGAAAAUAAGAAAAACAAAGAAAAAAAAAGAAAAAAAUGUAUUUUAUUGAAAUGUGUUUUUGGGGUUUCCUGAAUUGUAAGAUAUAUAUUUUUCUAUACUGUGGAUUAAUUUAUUUUCGUGGGUACCAAUUUUCGUGGAUUAAGGAAAACUUACAUGUUGGUGGAUAUCUAAUUUCAUGGUUUUACCGAAGUCUACUUACAAGCCUAUAGAAAUUUUGUUAUUCGUUGAAUAUUUAAUUUCGUGGUUCACCUGAAACCACUAAAUCCACGAAAAUUGGUAUCCAACGAAUAAUAAUGAAUCCACAGUAUAUAUAUAUACAACUUUUUGCUAUUUUUAGGUGAAAAUUGAACUUAAGUUUUUGAUAUGUGUUGUAUUUUUUAUAUUUAAUUAUUUUUUUAUUUUAAUAUACUAUAUUUUGUAUUUUUGUUAAAUAUAGGAAGGAUGUGGAGUCUCAACAGGGUGAAAUUUUCAGGGCAAAGGGAGGUAAUACCCCUGUUUAACUCCUCAUAAUUGAAAUGUCCUCAGUGUUAGGGAAUAUAACUUUUUUUUACUUUACUUUGUACAAGUUCUCCUUAAAUAUCAGAUGUAUACUAGCUAAAAUUGACUAUUAUUUAGAGUUCUGUAAAUAAAAAAAAAUGUAAGCAGAGUUCUAGAUAAUAGAUUUUGAGGGUGGGAGAAAUCAUGGGUCACUACAAUUGAUUAGGUGAAAUUUUCAAAAAAUGGUGAUUUGUUAAAAGUGCAUCUGAUAUUUUUUUUUAUAUAUUAUUUUAUUUCUAUAAGCAAAUGAACAAUAAGAUAAUGAGGGCAUGAACCACCUUGGCAACCAGGAGACAGCUCUAAGGAAGAUGGUCAAUUAAAUCUUCAACAAGUCUGAGGCCUUACCAUGAAAAAUCUGUGGUUGUUGAAAUUACAAUAUUUUCAUGGUGUUGGGAGUAAGACUUGGAUAUCAGAUAU